rnacentral:rRNA from 1 species
GAUGAACGCUAGCGGCAGGCCUAACACAUGCAAGUCGAGGGGUAGUUACUUUCGGGUAAUGAGACCGGCGCACGGGUGCAUAACGCGUAUGCAAUCUACCUUUUACAGGGGAAUAGCCCAGAGAAAAUUUGGAUUAAUGCCCCAUAGUAUGUAUGAAUCGCAUGUUUUAUACAUUAAAGUUCUAACGGUAAAAGAUGAGCAUGCGUCCCAUUAGUUAGUUGGUAAGGUAACGGCUUACCAAGACGAUGAUGGUAGGGGUCCUGAGAGGGAGAUCCCCCACACUGGUACUGAGACACGGACCAGACUCCUACGGGAGGCAGCAGUGAGGAAUAUUGGACAA